GACGAACGCUGGCGGCGUGCCUAAUACAUGCAAGUCGAACGAGUGGCGGACGGGUGAGUAAUGUCUGGGAAACUGCCCGAUGGAGGGGGAUAAAUACUGGAAACGGUAGCUAAUACCGCAUACCAUCAGAUGUGCCCCGAUGGGAUUAGCUAGUAGGUGGGGUAACGGCUCACCUAGGCGACGAUCCCUAGCGGGUCUGAGAGGAUGACCAGCCACACUGGAACUGAGACACGGUCCAGACUCCUACGGGAGGCAGCAGUGGGGAAUAUUGCACAAUGGGCGCAAGCCUGAUGCAGCCAUGUCGCGUGUAGGAAGAAGGCCUUCGGGUUGUAAAGUACUUUCAGCGGGGAGGCGUUACCCGCAGAAGAAGCACCGGCUAACUCCGUGCCAGCCGCCGCGGUAAUUC
rnacentral:rRNA from 1 species